rnacentral:rRNA from 1 species
AGUGAACGCUGGCGGUAGGCCUAACACAUGCAAGUCGAACGGCAGCACAGUAAGAGCUUGCUCUUACGGGUGGCGAGUGGCGGACGGGUGAGGAAUACAUCGGAAUCUACUUUUUCGUGGGGGAUAACGUAGGGAAACUUACGCUAAUACCGCAUACGACCUACGGGUGAAAGCAGUGGAUCUUCGGACUUUGCGCGUGUGAAUGAGCCGAUGUCGGAUUAGCUAGUUGGCGGGGUAAAGGCCCACCAAGGCGACGAUCCGUAGCUGGUCUGAGAGGAUGAUCAGCCACACUGGAACUGAGACACGGUCCAGCCUCCUACGGGAGGCAGCAGUGGGGAAUAUUGGACAAUGGGCGCAAGCCUGAUCCAGCCAUACCGCGUGGGUGAAGAAGGCCUUCGGGUUGUAAAGCCCUUUUGUUGGGAAAGAAAAGCAGCAGGUUAAUACCCCGCUGUUCUGACGGUACCCAAAGAAUAAGCACCGGCUAACUUCGUG